rnacentral:rRNA from 1 species
AACGAACGCUGGCGGCAGGCCUAACACAUGCAAGUCGAGCGAAGCCUUCGGGCUUAGCGGCGGACGGGUGAGUAACGCGUGGGAACGUGCCCUUUGGUACGGAAUAGCCCCGGGAAACUGGGAGUAAUACCGUAUGUGGUCGAGAGACGAAAGAUUUAUCGCCAAAGGAUCGGCCCGCGUUGGAUUAGGUAGUUGGUGGGGUAAUGGCCCACCAAGCCGACGAUCCAUAGCUGGUUUGAGAGGAUGAUCAGCCACACUGGGACUGAGACACGGCCCAGACUCCUACGGGAGGCAGCAGUGGGGAAUCUUAGACAAUGGGGGAGACCCUGAUCUAGCCAUGCCGCGUGAUCGAUGAAGGCCUUAGGGUUGUAAAGAUCUUUCAGUGGGGAAGAUAAUGACUGUACCCACAGAAGAAGCCCCGGCUAACUCCGUGCCAGCCGCCGCGGUAAGAC